rnacentral:rRNA from 1 species
UUUCCUACGGGGGGCAGCAGUGGGGAAUAUUGGGCAAUGGGCGCAAGCCUGACCCAGCAACGCCGCGUGAAGGAAGAAGGCUUUCGGGUUGUAAACUUCUUUUAUCAGGGACGAAGCAAGUGACGGUACCUGAUGAAUAAGCCACGGCUAACUACGUGCCAGCAGCCGCGGUAAUACGUAGGUGGCAAGCGUUAUCCGGAUUUACUGGGUGUAAAGGGCGUGUAGGCGGGAGUGCAAGUCAGAUGUGAAAACUAUGGGCUCAACCCAUAGCCUGCAUUUGAAACUGUACUUCUG